UACAGAGGUCUCAAGCGUUUGUUCGGGAUUCAUUGGGCGUAAAGGGUGCGUAGGUGGCGCCGUAAGUCGGGGUGUGAAAUUUCGGAGCUUAACUCCGAAACUGCAUUCGAUACUGCGGUGCUUGAGGACUGGAGAGGAGACUGGAAUUCAUGGUGUAGCAGUGAAAUGCGUAGAGAUCAUGAGGAAGACCAGUGGCGAAGGCGGGUCUCUGGACCAAUUCUGACGCUGAGGAGCGAAAGCCAGGGGAGCAAAACGGGG
rnacentral:rRNA from 1 species